rnacentral:rRNA from 1 species
GACGAACGCUGGCGGCGUGCUUAACACAUGCAAGUCGAACGGAGUGGCGAACGGGUGAGUAACACGUGGGUGACCUGCCCUGCACUUCGGGAUAAGCCUGGGAAACUGGGUCUAAUACCGGAGAGUGUGGGAUGGGCCCGCGGCCUAUCAGCUUGUUGGUGGGGUAAUGGCCUACCAAGGCGGCGACGGGUAGCCGGCCUGGGAGGGUGGACGGCCACAUUGGGCCUGAGAGACGGACCAGACGCCAACGGGGGGCAGCGGUGGGGAAUAUUGCACAGUGGGCGGAAGCGUGAGGAAGCGACGCCGCGUGGGGGAUGACGGCCUUCGGGUUGGAAACUCCUUUCACCAUCGACGCGGUAGAAGGAGAAGAAGCACCGGCUAACUACGUGCCAGCAGCCGCGGUAAUAG